rnacentral:tRNA from 1 species
GGCGCUGUGGCAUAGCGGGUAAAGCUGUGGCCUGCAGUGCCAACAUCCCAUAUGGGCACAGGUUCGAGUCCCGGCUGCUCCU